UUUCCGUAGGUGAACCUGCGGAAGGAUCAUUCAUAAUAAGUGUUUUAUGGCACUUUUUUAAAUCCAUAUCCACCUUGUGUGCAAUGUCAGGGUUGAUUUUUCGCUCGAGAGGAUCAGCCCCAAACAUCAACUAUAUCUCAACUAUUUGUCUGAAAAAUAUUAUGAAUAAAACAAUUCAAAAUACAACUUUCAACAACGGAUCUCUUGGCUCUC
rnacentral:misc_RNA from 1 species